UAGAUGCUGUACAAAGCCCCCAUACACAGUGAUGUCAAUACAUUAUGACAUAUGAGAAGAGAGCAGCAGGCAGAGGAGGAUGCCCAGGGGUGCAGUCUUAGCUGAGGGGUAACUCAGCUAAGGCUGGCACGUGGUCAUGUGGCUUGGACUUUCUUCUCAGCUCCAGGGGCAUGUGGAGAGGAGGACCCUGAGGGACAGUGAACAAUUUAUAGCCUGCCUUCAGCUCCCAAGGACUUCUGGGAGCAUUGUGUUGGUGGCCACCAGGAUACACAUUUUAUACAAACACUGACUAAACUGAGUCCUGGCAUGGCUAGUAUCUAAAUGCAUAUUCAUGACAACCUACUUAAGCCAGUGCUACUGUUACAGAAGAAUCACCUGGAGAGCCUGAUAAAAUACUGAUGCUGAUCCAGUGUUUGCGAGGAAGCAUGCCUUACAGGUGGCCAGAACCUAUAAAACCACACCACACAUAAAAGAAGGAAUGCCAUAUGUGACUCUCUUCUCGUCAGCACUGCUAAUCAUGAGGAUAAGCACUGUUGGACAAAGGGAAGCUAAGACUGCUUAAAUAUGGUAGAUGACCACCAGCUCAAAUCAUGAAAGUAAAGAAAUAUUUAAGAAGAUAUAAAGCAGAGAACACAAAGACAAAGAGACAAGAGAGAACAGUAGAAAAAGGAUCACCUGCAAACAAAAACAGGACAAGGUGGAAGGUUCUAUAGUGAAAGAUGUCCAUCUUUGAUCUUUGCAGAUGCUGGCAGCCAGUGAUACAUCAUUCCCAACCUCACCCUCUGCAGAAGAUUGGUGAUUUUUUUUCUUUGGAGAAAAGGAAUAGCUCUAAGAAAAGACUUACAGAUAUUGAUAUUUGGAGAGGUGCCACGUGGGACUGGAACCCACCUUCUGCCAGAAGCAAGCCUGAAUUCAUGAACUUGCCAUUUUCUUUGCUCUCCGUGGGACCUGCCAGACAGGCACCUCCGUGGAAGGACUAUUUACCCAACACCAACACCUGCCAAGGAAAACAGAAAGAAAAACAGGAGGCAAAGAAGGUGGAACGGCAUGACAUCAGAAGGUACAUGUCUGAUAUACAGAAAACUUGAAUCACAAAACGGGUGGACGACUUGAUCAGAACUUUUGGUUGAGUGAGUUGCCAACUCAAAGCAAUGGUGGUGUUCCUCUUCAUAAAGACAAUCUUUGUGAUAAUAGUCAACAGUGCUGUGCAGUAUUUGAAGUGCUUUCCAUGAUCAACACACGUAAUCAUCGCAAGAACCAUAAGAACUCACACUGGAGCCCAGGGAGGGUCUGUCCACUCAACCAAGAAGGCGAGCAUGGAAGCUUUGCUAGAAAGAGCCCUCAGUUCUAGCAUCUCAAUCAGGAGAAGCCAGCGAAAUGUAUGAACUCUGUGUGAGGAUCUCCUGAGCAUAGUGUUUUUAAAGAGUGUGGCUUCCUGGUCAGACUCCCUGGGUUCACAUCUCCGCUCUGCCAUUUGCCAGCUGUAUACCUUGGGGUAACUUACUCAACCGCUAUUCCUCAGACUUCUGAUCUUCAAUGAGGAUAAUCACAUUUACCUUGCAGUGCUAUUGUAAAGGCCUCUGUACUUGGAAUGAAUUACACCACAUGCUUUCUGUGGGACUUCUCAGCCUCCAUAAUCAUCAAGAUUGAAGGUUUUACAAGAAAUCUCAAACCCUGUGCAACUUUUCUUCUGAGAAACCUGAAGGUCUUCAAAUUUCCAUUGUAACAGCUGAUGAUGAUUGCAGUGUGACCCCAGAAUAGCAUGACUGAAGAAGAUUCCAGUUACUCUGCAAUGUGUGAAAUCAAGCUCAGUUAUAUCUUCAAACAUGCCCUGCCUUUGAGGCUCUAGAUUGUAUCUGCUGCUGGAAUCUGCUGGAGGGGAAACAGCAAAGUGAUCUCUAAGUUGGAGCAUAACUGGGGUCCCCAGGGCCUCACUGCUCUGUGCAAAGGACAGUGAACUUGGAAUCUAUCAAUCCUCCCCUAAUGGAUGUGGUCCUAAUCAGCAGUGAUUCCUGCAGAGGCUUUCACAGGAAAAAGAGGAUAGAGUAUUGAGAAUGAGAGAAAGAAGACAAGAAUGGAAAAACUGAGCAAAUGUUUUCUCAGUUCAUCUUCGAGCAAAUUAAGAAAAGCUGAAUCAAAGUAUAACUUGCCCCUUACUUGAACCUCUGAAUUUUCUCAGGGAUAAAAAGGACUGACAUAAUUGUAUCAGAGUGAACUGGUAAAUGCUCAAAGCAGGCAAAAAUAAGGUAAUAAAGUUCUGUA